CAGUACAAACUGAGCAGGCGAUGCCCCCGACGAGGGCAUGGGGCCGGGCCGCCGCGGCGGCAGCAGAUGAAGACAACGGCAUCUGUGGGACAGU
rnacentral:ncRNA from 1 species